UACGAAGGGGCUAGCGUUGCUCGGAAUCACUGGGCGUAAAGGGUGCGUAGGCGGGUCUUAAGUCAGGGUGAAAUCCUGGAGCUCAACUCCAGAACUGCCUUUGAUACUGAAGAUCUUGAGUUCGGAGAGGUGAGUGGAACUGCGAGUGUAGAGGUGAAAUUCGUAGAUAUUCGCAAGAACACCAGUGGCGAAGGCGGCUCACUGGCCCGAUACUGACGCUGAGGCACGAAGCGUGGGAGCAACAGGAUUA
rnacentral:rRNA from 1 species